rnacentral:rRNA from 1 species
AGUCGAUGAUGGGAGCUAGCUUGCUAGAAGAAGUCAUGGCGGACGGGUGAGUAACGUGUAAAGAACUUACCAUAUAGACUGGGAUAACAGAGGGAAACUUCUGAUAAUACUGGAUAAGUUAGAAGUAGCAUUACUAAGUAAUGAAAGGUAGCAAUACGCUAUAUGAGAGCUUUGCAUCCUAUUAGCUAGUUGGUGGGGUAAAAGCCUACCAAGGCAAUGAUAGGUAGCCGGCCUGAGAGGGUGGACGGCCACAAGGGGACUGAGAUACGGCCCUUACUCCUACGGGAGGCAGCAGUGGGGAAUAUUGGACAAUGGAGGCAACUCUGAUCCAGCAAUUCUGUGUGUGUGAAGAAGGUUUUAGGACUGUAAAACACUUUUAGUAGGGAAGAAAGAAAUGACGGUACCUACAGAAGAAGCGACGGCUAAAUACGUGCCAGCAGCCGCGGUAAUACGUAUGUCGCGAGCGUUAUCCGGAAUUAUUGGGCUUAAAGGGCAUCUAGGCGGUUAAACAAGUUGAAGGUGAAAACCUGUGGCUCAACCAUAGGCUUGCCUACAAAACUGUAUAACUAGAGUACUGGAAAGGUGGGUGGAACUACACGAGUAGAGGUGAAAUUCGUAGAUAUGUGUAGGAAUGCCGAUGAUGAAGAUAACUCACUGGACAGCAACUGACGCUGAAGUGCGAAAGCUAGGGGAGCAAACAGGAUUAGAUACCCUGGUAGUCCUAGCUGUAAACGAUGAUCACUGGGUGUGGGGAUUCGAAGUCUCUGUGCCGAAGCAAAAGCGAUAAGUGAUCCGCCUGGGGAGUACGUUCGCAAGAAUGAAACUCAAAGGAAUUGACGGGGACC